ensembl:lncRNA
GUGGGAGAGAGAGGUCUAGGUGGUGAAGAGAGAGAGGUCUAGGUGGUGAAGAGAGAGAGGUCUAGGUGGUGAAGAGAGAGAGGUCUAGGUGGUGUGGUGAAGAGAGAGAGGUCUAGGUGAGGUCUAGGUGGUGAAGAGAGAGAGGUCUAGGUGGUGAAGAGAGAGAGGUCUAGGUGGUGUGGUGAAGAGAGCAGUAGGAGAGAGAGAGGUCUAGGUGGUGAAGAGAGCAGUAGGAGAGAGAGGUCUAGGUGGUGUGGUGAAGAGAGCAGUGGGAGAGAGAGGUCUAGGUGGUGAAGAGAGAGAGGUCUAGGUGGUGAAGAGAGCAGUGGGAGAGAGAGGUCUAGGUGGUGUGGUGAAGAGAGCAGUGGAGUGGUGGAGUUAUCAUGGUGUUUAGCAACCCUGAGGGGAAGGACAGGGCAGGAAGGAAGGCCGUAGAGUAGCAUCUCUCUUUCGAUCUUUAUCUUUGGAAUAUUAUUCGUUAAAAUGUUGCAUUUGAUGAGCAAAUCAUUAUAAUCGACAGUGAAGUACCUUUUAAUGGCCCUGUAUUGGCUCAGUUGGUAGAGCAUGGCACUUGCAAUGCCAGGGUUGUGGGUUUGAUUCCCACGGGGGACCAGGAC